UAGCCUUAUGAUCAUAUGCAGACACUAGGC
rnacentral:piRNA from 1 species